AUUGAACGCUGGCGGCAGGCCUAACACAUGCAAGUCGAGCGGAUGAAGGGAGCUUGCUCCUGGAUUCAGCGGCGGACGGGUGAGUAAUGCCUAGGAAUCUGCCUGGUAGUGGGGGAUAACGUCCGGAAACGGGCGCUAAUACCGCAUACGUCCUGAGGGAGAAAGUGGGGGAUCUUCGGACCUCACGCUAUCAGAUGAGCCUAGGUCGGAUUAGCUAGUUGGUGGGGUAAAGGCCUACCAAGGCGACGAUCCGUAACUGGUCUGAGAGGAUCAUCAGUCACACUGGAACUGAGACACGGUCCAGACUCCUACGGGAGGCAGCAGUGGGGAAUAUUGGACAAUGGGCGAAAGCCUGAUCCAGCCAUGCCGCGUGUGUGAAGAAGGUCUUCGGAUUGUAAAGCACUUUAAGUUGGGAGGAAGGGCAGUAAGUUAAUACCUUGCUGUUUUGACGUUACCAACAGAAUAAGCACCGGCUAACUUCGUG
rnacentral:rRNA from 1 species